AUAGUUAAGUGCCUGAGCUCAUUCUUGUCAUCAAAGAAGUUUGGUAACCUUAGCCAGACUCGAAGUUCAAAAAGUUUACAGAGCAGUAAAGGAAGAAUGAAUGUGGCAAAUCACACACUGCUCUACAGCCACCGUCUGAGAAAAG
rnacentral:lncRNA from 1 species